AUGAGGGAGGCGGAAGCUUCGGCGUCGACGCGGCGCCGGACCCUGGUGCUGGUGAACCUGACGUCGAUGCUGGAGAAGGCGGACGAGGUGCUGCUGCCGGCGGUGUACCGGGAGGUGGGCGCCGCGCUGGCCGUCUCCCCCACGGCGCUCGGCUCCCUCACCCUCUGCCGCGCGCUCGUCCAGGCCCUCUCCUUCCCGCUCGCCGCCUACGCCUCCGCGCGCCACGACCGCGCCAAAGUCGUCGCCGUCGGCGCCUUCCUCUGGGCCGCCGCCACCUUCCUCGUCGCCAUCUCCCGCACCUACCUCCAGAUGGCCAUCUCGCGGGGGCUGAACGGCAUCGGCCUCGCGCUGGUCAUUCCGGCCAUCAACUCGCUGGUCGCCGACUACACGGACGACCACACCAGGGGCGCCGCCUUCGGGUGGCUGCAGAUGACCUGCAACCUCGGGUCCAUCGUGGGGGGCUCCUUCGGCGUGCUCCUCGCGCCGGUCACCUUCCUCGGCGUCCCCGGCUGGCGGCUCGCGUUCCACAUCGUGGGCGCCAUCAGCGUCGCGCUGGGCCUUCUCAUGUGGCUCCUCGCCGCCGACCCGCACUCCAAGUCCAAGAACGCGGCGUCGGCGAGGGAGGAGGCCCGGGAGCUGCUCCGGGACGCCAGGGCCGUCAUCGCGGUGCCCACGUUCCAGGUCAUCGUCGCGCAGGGGGUCGCCGGCCUCAUCGCCUGGUCGGGGCUCAACUUCGCCACCAUGUGGCUGGAGCUCAUGGGGUUCACGCACUGGGAGACCAGCAUCAUCACGGGGCUCUACCUCUUCGCCACCGCCCUCGGCGCGCUCUUCGGGGGCGUCGUCGGCGACGCCGUCUCGCGCUGGUUCCCAGACGCCGGGAGAAUCGCGCUGGCGCAGAUCAGCUCCGCGUCCGCGCUCCCGCUCGGCGCCGUCCUGCUGCUCGGCUUGCCCAACGACCCGUCCACCGGCGUGGCGCACGCGGCCGUGUUCUUCGUCAUGGGGUUCGCCAUUUCCUGGAACGCCGCGUCCACCAACAACCCGAUCUUCGCGGAGAUCGUGCCGGCGAAGGCGAGGACGACGGUGUACGCGCUGGACAAGUGCUUCGAGUCGGUGUUCGCCUCCUUCGCGCCGCCGGUGGUGGGCAUCCUGGCGGAGCGCGUGUUCGGGUACAAGCCGGUGUCUUCCGAGUCGAGCGUGGACAUGGACAGAGGGAACGCGGCUGCAUUGGCCAAGGCCAUGUACGUGGAGCUGGCGGUGCCCAUGGCCAUCUGCUCUUUGACCUAUGGCCUCCUGUACUGCACUUACCCCCGGGACAGAGACACCGUGAACCUCAUGGCAGCAGACGAAGACGAUGACAGUGAAUCAAGUGCGGUUCGUGCCCACCAAGACGAAGAAUCCCCUGUCGGUUCCUUAACCCAGAGACUGAUACCCACGACCACGACAGACUAG
rnacentral:rRNA from 1 species